UACGUAGGGUGCGAGCGUUGUCCGGAAUUAUUGGGCGUAAAGAGCUCGUAGGCGGUGUGUCACGUCGUGCGUGAAAACCUGCAGCUUAACUGUGGGCGUGCGGUCGAUACGGGCAUCACUGGAGUUCGGCAGGGGAGACUGGAAUUCCUGGUGUAGCGGUGAAAUGCGCAGAUAUCAGGAGGAACACCGGUGGCGAAGGCGGGUCUCUGGGCCGAUACUGACGCUGAGGAGCGAAAGCGUGGGGAGCAAACAGG
rnacentral:rRNA from 1 species